rnacentral:rRNA from 1 species
GUUAUACUAUUGAGGCAAACAUAUUAUUUUGUAUAAUAUUAAAUUAUUUUAUUUUGAAAAAUAAAAAUAUUUUUUAGGUGAAAUUUAAAAUUUUUUAAAAUUCUAAAUAUAAUUUUUUAAAAAUUUUUUUGAAAACUAGGAUUAGAUACCCUAUUAUUAAAACUUAUAAAAUUAGGUAGUAAAGAAAUUUCUGAAACCUAAAGAAUUUGGCGGUAUUUUAAAUAAUUGGAGGAACCUGUUAUUUAAUUGACAAUCCACAACAUAUCUUACCUAGAUUUUAUUUGUAUAUCGUCGUUUUGAUAAUAUUUAAAAAUAAUAAUCAAUUUUAAUAAAUUUUUUAAAUUCAGAUCAAGAUGCAGUAUAUUUAGGUUAUAAUGGGUUACAAUAUACUUAUAUAUAAUGAAUGUAAAAUUGAAAAUAUAUUGAAGGUGGAUUCAAAAGUAAAAUUAAAUAAAAAGU